rnacentral:lncRNA from 1 species
GCUGAAGCAGAACAUGCACACUUAACUGCUGCACCACCGGGCCAGCCCUCAGCAUCUAUAUUUCUUACCACUCACAAGGCCUUGCGUGAUUUGGCCUAGUGUCAUCUUUUGCAACUCUCCUCACGCCUCCUCCACCUCACGCUGUGAUGCAGAUGAAUUUCGUCUUUGCACAUGCUGACUCUGAAGUACCUAUGACACUUCCUAGUGGAGAGGUCCAGUAGGCACUUGGGUGCAUGGGUCCAAAGCUCAGAUGGAAAAAACACUGAGGCUCGAGAAGUUCAAUAAUUUGACCAAAAACACACAGGUAGUAAAUGACAGAGCUGGAAUUUGAACCCACGUGUGUUUUUUCCUGUUGUGGCACUGCUGUCUCACUGACUCCUGAAGAUGAAAUGCCUAUAGCGCACUUCUGAGUUGGUUUAUGUCUAUUAAUAGAAGGGAUAAGAGAGUAAUGCAAGAGCCAGAAUGGAAAUCAGGACGCUAAAUUCAGAUCCGUCAUCAGUCACUUACUCUCAGCCUGACUGUAAAUCUUCUGACUUCUUCGUGCCUCAGUAUUAACAUCUGUAAUGUAGGGAUAACAUCAAAUUUCCGCGAAAAUUCUAGGGAGGUUAUGAGGCUUAUAAAACUAAACUUCAUGAGUUUUAAUUAUGCUUAAAGAAUUUUUGAGAUGUUAAAUUUGUUAAAAAAUAAAACCUUUUAAUUAAGUUACUUAAAACUGGCAUUCCUGGGUAGCUAGAACACAAUAUUUUGUUAUCUUUAAAUGAUUCAAUGUUGGCUUCAUUUUCUUUGCCCUGAACCUGAGGAACCUG